rnacentral:rRNA from 1 species
AUGCAUCAUGCCAACCUUCCCAUCUCAUCUCACCUAGCUCUCUCGAUCACAAUUCACAACCACCAUCAACCAGCCAAUCCAUCCAUCACCGUGUCCACCACGAGUCCCUGCCUACGCUUCCUCAUGGCGGCCGCCACCAACACCAAGCAGCAGCAGCAGCCGGCACCGAAGCCGGAGUUUGCCAACGGCGAGAAAGCCAAAGCGCUGGUCGACCAGGAGAACCUGGCAGCGGGAGUGAUACGGGGCACCGAGGAAGUGAAAGCCAAAGCAGAAGCCACUGCCACGGAAGCCAAAGCUGUGCUGGAGAAGAAGGCCACGGCGUGCAGUGGCUGGAAAGAGCGCGUGGCAGGGGCCUGGAGCAGCUGA